UGAUGUGGAGGGAGCGGAGGCUGCGCGGCGGAGAGUAGAGAGCUAGAGGGUGAGAAGCGCUGGGCCGGACCAGAACUGUCUUAGCUUUUCCCUCUGCGGCUGCUCUGGUUGGUUACUUUGAGCCUGCCUCCUCAGCGCCGCAGGAGAGACUUAACAGCAAAAAUGACUGUGUCCUGAGUUCAGCCCCCACUGCUCUGGGAGCUUCCCCCUGGUUUCUGCACCUGAAGAAUGUCAUCCCAGCCGAAGGUUCUUAGGAGCGGGGAGCGACAAAGAAAAACAAAGAAAAGCAGACCUGAAAAUUGGGACCUGGGAGAAAUGUAAGACAUGUGCUUAAUUUGAGGCACAGACCAAAAGAAGCUGAGUCUGAGGGCCCUCUAAAAGUGUCCUCGUGCUUGGGCAGCUUACAUUCUUGGCGGCAGUAGUGUUAUGAAGAGGACCUUCGGAGCCAGAGACGAGUGCUCUAAACCAGUAUCAUGGCUCCAGUUCCUCUGACAAGGAUUCACAUGGGGUUGCAAUUCUGACUGUGCUGGUGAUGCUGGUUCCAGGUCCCUCAGGAACCCCUCCCCCAGUCUGGUCUGCCCUUGAACUCUAUACUGGCCCCAGGGUAUCCCAGGAUUGUCAGAAAGGCCUGGCCAGGAUUCACCUGGGAGAGGGAUCAGCAUCUCUGCAAAGUUGUUGGAUUGAAAGAACUUUCAUUUUGAGCUACAUCAUUGAAGAGCUUUAAAUCUGAAAAUAAGAAAGACGUUGAACCCUAUUACUCACAUCUCUUUGUCAUUUGAAGCAGAUCCCGAACCACUCAAAAGGACAAAACAAGGAAAUAGCAAUGAAAUUGGAUUCAGUGAAUGGGGUAAGGGUAUUAAGUGUCUGAAAUAUAAGAGAUAAAAAAAUUAGUUUUUACCUUUUUUUCUAUUUUCUAAAUGUUUUGGUGGCUAGAAUAAGAUAUACUUUGAACUCAAGAGCAAUAAAUGUUAAUAUAUUAAAAGUAGCUUUAUGAAAUAUGGAAAGUAUCUUUAUUUCAAAAUACUUCAAAGUAAUCAUCUGAAUAUUUAUCAGAAAUAUUAAGACAACUUAUUAAAUCCUGUAUUAAAAUGAUUGCUUAUUA